UACGAAGGGGGGCUAGCGUUGUUCGGAAUUACUGGGCGUAAAGCGCACGUAGGCGGAUCGAUCAGUCAGGGGUGAAAUCCCAGAGCUCAACUCUGGAACUGCCUUUGAUACUGUCGGUCUAGAGUAUGGAAGAGGUGAGUGGAAUUCCGAGUGUAGAGGUGAAAUUCGUAGAUAUUCGGAGGAACACCAGUGGCGAAGGCGGCUCACUGGUCCAUUACUGACGCUGAGGUGCGAAAGCGUGGGGGAGCAAACAGG
rnacentral:rRNA from 1 species